UUGCAUUUUGCCCCUCGACAUGAAAAGAUCGAGAAUGGAUCUGCUACGUACUACUGUGUCAUCGUUGUCGUACUGAAAAAGCUCCAGAAGCGUCAGGGACAUGUCAUCCACUGCCGAUUCUUCAUGCCGGUGUGUUCUGGUCACUGCGAAGACACGUUUAACCAGGGAUUUCACAUACCGAGAUCUUAUGGAUGAAAGUUUCAGCUUUCCGAAGGCGUACUCUUGCAGAUCCAAACUCACGAGCUCCGCGACAUCAGGAUUCCUGAAUUCAACCGGCAUGUCUACCCCGAAGAAAUCUCUGAAGGAACUCUC
rnacentral:lncRNA from 1 species